AUCUAAGCACGAAACUUGCCCCGAGAUGAGUUCUCCCUGAGACUUUAAGUCUCCUGAAGGAACGUUGAAGACGAUGACGUUGAUAGGUCGGGUGUGUAAGCGCAGCGAUGCGUUGAGCUAACCGAUACUAAUGAACCGUGAGGCUUAACCUUACAACGCCGAAGGUGUUU
rnacentral:rRNA from 1 species